CAUGCAGUCGAGGGGUAUAGUUCUUCGGAAUUAGAGACCGGCGCACGGGUGCGUAACGCGUAUGCAAUCUGCCUUUCACAGAGGGAUAGCCCAGAGAAAUUUGGAUUAAUACCUCAUAGUAUUACGACUCGGCAUCGAGAUGUAAUUAAAGUCACAACGGUGAAAGAUGAGCAUGCGUCCCAUUAGCUAGUUGGUAAGGUAACGGCUUACCAAGGCAACGAUGGGUAGGGGUCCUGAGAGGGAGAUCCCCCACACUGGUACUGAGACACGGACCAGACUCCUACGGGAGGCAGCAGUGAGGAAUAUUGGACAAUGGGCGCAAGCCUGAUCCAGCCAUGCCGCGUGCAGGAUGACGGUCCUAUGGAUUGUAAACUGCUUUUGUACGAGAAGAAACACUCCUUCGUGAAGGAGCUUGACGGUAUCGUAAGAAUAAGGAUCGGCUAACUCCGUGCCAGCAGCCGCGGUAAUACGGAGGAUCCAAGCGUUAUCCGGAAUCAUUGGGUUUAAAGGGUCCGUAGGCGGUUUAGUAAGUCAGUGGUGAAAGCCCAUCGCUCAACGGUGGAACGGCCAUUGAUACUGCUGAACUUGAAUUAUUAGGAAGUAACUAGAAUAUGUAGUGUAGCGGUGAAAUGCUUAGAUAUUACAUGGAAUACCAAUUGCGAAGGCAGGUUACUACUAAUGGAUUGACGCUGAUGGACGAAAGCGUGGGGAGCGAACAGGAUUAGAUACCCUGGUAGUCCACGCCGUAAACGAUGGAUACUAGCUGUUGGAAGCAAUUUCAGUGGCUAAGCGAAAGUGAUAAGUAUCCCACCUGGGGAGUACGUUCGCAAGAAUGAAACUCAAAGGAAUUGACGGGGGCCCGCACAAGCGGUGGAGCAUGUGGUUUAAUUCGAUGAUACGCGAGGAACCUUACCAAGGCUUAAAUGUAGAUUGACCGGUUUGGAAACAGAUCUUUCGCAAGACAAUUUACAAGGUGCUGCAUGGUUGUCGUCAGCUCGUGCCGUGAGGUGUCAGGUUAAGUCCUAUAACGAGCGCAACCCCUGUUGUUAGUUGCCAGCGAGUAGUGUCGGGAACUCUAACAAGACUGCCAGUGCAAACUGUGAGGAAGGUGGGGAUGACGUCAAAUCAUCACGGCCCUUACGCUUGGGCUAMMMCGUGCU
rnacentral:rRNA from 1 species